AUGACCACAGUGCAACAGGGUGCAGGAACACAGAUAUCAGGACAGAAGAGGAAAAAGUGCACCGGGACACUGACUUCCCUCCCAAGCCAGACCGGCUCGCUGGUUUGGGGUCUCCGCCGCAGGACAGAAGGGGACAAACUGCCACCUGCCUCCCCUGCAGCUGUGUGUGAGGAAGAGGAAGUAACUGAGGAAGAAGAGCCACCGCUAAACACAACCAUCAUCUAAUUUAGCUGUCAACUGAUGAUUUCAGUUUCUAAUGAAGAACAAAAAAGUCAACUAGAAGAGCCGUAAGCCUGUAACUCUGGACCAGCAGGUGAGUGACAGGAUGUUGGACAAAUGACACGGGCACAUGGCCAAGUUGUCAUGAUGAGAAAUUGUCUUAUGCAAAAAAGCUGCCCUCAUGUAUUAGAGCCUGGCAGCUGUAUUGGACAUGUUGAUCAUUCUUUAUACCAAACAGAAACAAAAGCGUGUUGUUGAAGAUGACUGUGUGCCUUUAAAAGUGCUGUGGUGGAAACAUGGUGUAGUGUCAGUAUAAUACUGUGGUGGUGAUAUAAUGCAUGUUGGCCUCAAAGUAUUUAGACACAUAAAAUCAAUAAUUUGA
rnacentral:lncRNA from 12 species